rnacentral:lncRNA from 1 species
GAUAGAUCUCGGCAAAACAACACUUUAUGAUUCGCCUGCGAAUUCGGUCUCAUCUUGUCCCUCAUGCACAUCUCUUGUACGGCCAUAAUUAUGGGUGAACUUUGAUGCUCCUCGUCGAUGGUGUCUAGCCAUGUAGAAACAGGGGUAGUAAUCCCACCAACCUCCAAUUGGACGAGAGAGCAUCAACAACUUUGUUCGUUUUUUCUUCCAUGAAUUUUAUAGUCAAAUCGUACCCCAAGUGCUUAGUGAUGCAUUUUUCUUGCAUUGUUGCCGUAGAUUUCUAUUAUAACAAAUGCUUUAAACUUUGU